AGGCAGUUAGUUUAGUAAAAAUAUUUGGUUUCGACCCAAAAGCUUGUGGUUUAAAUCCAUAAUUACCUA
rnacentral:tRNA from 1 species